rnacentral:pre_miRNA from 1 species
AAAAUACUCCCUCCAUCCGAAAAAACUUGUCCCAAGCUUGUUUAUCAAAUGGAUGUAUCUAGCACUAACUUGGUGCUAGAUACAUCCAUUUGAAGGACAAGCUUUUUCGGACGGAGGGAGUAUUCU